rnacentral:tRNA from 1 species
UAAGAAAGUGGCAGAACGGUUUAUGCGGCUGGCUUGAAACUAGCAUAUGGGGGUUCAAAGGCCUCCUUUCUCGAC